rnacentral:rRNA from 1 species
UGGGGAAUAUUGCACAAUGGGGGAAACCCUGAUGCAGCGACGCCGCGUGAGCGAUGAAGGCUUUCGAGUCGUAAAGCUCUGUCCUAUGGGAAGAUAAUGACGGUACCAUAGAAGAAAGCCCCGGCUAAUUACGUGCCAGCAGCCGCGGUAAUACGUAAGGGGCGAGCGUUGUCCGGAAUUAUUGGGCGUAAAGAGUGCGUAGGCGGCAAAUUAAGUCAGAUGUGAAAACUAAGGGCUCAACCCAUAGAUUGCAGCUGAAACUGAUAUGCUUGAGUCAAGGAGAGGAAAGUGGAAUUCCUAGUGGAGCGGUGGAAUGCGUAGAUAUUAGGAGGAAGACCGGUGGCGAAGGCGACUUUCUGGACUUGAACUGACGCUGAGGCACGAAAGCGUGGGGAGCAAACAGG